UACGUAGGGUGCAAGCGUUGUCCGGAAUUAUUGGGCGUAAAGAGCUUGUAGGCGGUUUGUCGCGUCUGCUGUGAAAUUUCGGGGGCUCAACCCCGAACUUGCAGUGGGUACGGGCAGACUAGAGUGUGGUAGGGGGAGACUGGAAUUCCUGGUGUAGCGGUGAAAUGCGUAGAUAUCAGGAGGAACACCGGUGGCGAAGGCGGCCUUCUGGACAGUGACUGACGCUGAGACGCGAAAGCGUGGGGGAGCAAAACAGG
rnacentral:rRNA from 1 species